GAUGAACGCUGGCGGCGUGCCUAAUACAUGCAAGUCGAGCGAACAGACGAGGAGCUUGCUCCUCUUACGUUAGCGGCGGACGGGUGAGUAACACGUGGAUAACCUACCUAUAAGACUGGGAUAACUUCGGGAAACCGGAGCUAAUACCGGAUAAUAUAUUGAACCGCAUGGUUCAAUAGUGAAAGACGGUUUUGCUGUCACUUAUAAAUGGAUCCGCGCCGCAUUAGCUAGUUGGUAGGGUAACGGCUUACCAAGGCAACGAUGCGUAGCCGACCUGAGAGGGUGAUCGGCCACACUGGAACUGAGACACGGUCCAGACUCCUACGGGAGGCAGCAGUAGGGAAUCUUACGCAAUGGGCGAAAGCCUGACGGAGCAACGCCGCGUGAGUGAUGAAGGUCUUCGGAUCGUAAAACUCUGUUAUUAGGGAAGAACAGAUGUGUAAGUAAAUAUGCACGUCUUGACGGUACCUAAUCAGAAAGCCACGGCUAACUACGUG
rnacentral:rRNA from 1 species